UGACUGUGGGUGGGGCCGAGGAGGCCUGACAGGAAGCUGGUGUGCUGUGAGAAGUGUGGGUAGCCACCAAAGGGGAAGCUGGCUGUCAGUGAACUUUGGAGGCUGAAGUAGAGUUGGGAAAUCUUGUCUCCCAACUUCAUCAGAGGCUGCAGGCGACAAGACUGAAACCCACAGUUCAAGAAAUGGAGACCUGAGAGUCUGGAAGUUGCCUUAUCCUGGAUUGUCAGGGCCAGAACACCUGGUAUAGAUCAAGAUAGGAUGAUGGAGAAGGAGGAAGCUGAGCCCAUCAGGAUUCCCCCCCAGUACCAUGUGGACCAGAAGCUUCCUCUUCUUAGAGGCACAGGGCAAGAGGAAGCUGGUGAUUUUUUCUAGUCUCCGCCCCUCAACUGCACCAGGAACAUCAGAGAUAUGUGCAGGAGCCUGGAAGCUUGAACUCCACACUGUUGCAGACUAGGAGAGUUCAUGGGAGUCUGUUUACCAUCCAUACUGAACCUAACACGGACUCUGACCAUGGGCUCUGCCCCUCAAAGGUCUGGACUCUCCAGGAACUGCAAUUCCUGCUCCAGAGCUCUUAGGAAGUACUGAGGAGGAUGGUUUCCUCCAUCUUCACUCCAGCUGUGAUAAUGAAACUCUGAAGGCACCCGAGGAACACCUGGUGAUCAAGAGUGAAGGUGGCCUCUGAGUCAGGAAGGAGGAUGUAGCCAUGACUCUCAGGUUGCUGAGAGGAAGAGUUAGCACAUUUCUGAGAAACAUAUAGGUGGUUCCUCUCUGGUUCCAAGAUCUUUUCCAAGCUAUGAGUAAUGUUGAACCCCAUCUUAAAAUGUGUUAUCCACCCAAGUAUCUACAUCUCUUAACCUACUUGGAGAAUUGAUGUUCCAUUACUUCUCAUAGUGGUACUUCAAGUAAACAAGUGUAUA